CGGCUUACACAUGCAAGUCGAACGGGCACCUUCGGGUGUCAGUGGCAGACGGGUGAGUAACACGUGGGAACGUACCCUUCGGUUCGGAAUAACUCAGGGAAACUUGAGCUAAUACCGGAUACGCCCUUUUGGGGAAAGGUUUACUGCCGAAGGAUCGGCCCGCGUCUGAUUANCUUGUUGGUGGGGUAACGGCCUACCAAGGCGACGAUCAGUAGCUGGUCUGAGAGGAUGAUCAGCCACACUGGGACUGAGACACGGCCCAGACUCCUACGGGAGGC
rnacentral:rRNA from 1 species